rnacentral:rRNA from 1 species
AUUGAACGCUGGCGGCAUGCCUUACACAUGCAAGUCGAACGGUAACGGGCCUUCGGGUGCCGACGAGUGGCGAACGGGUGAGUAAUGUAUCGGAACGUACCUUUCAGUGGGGGAUAACGUAGCGAAAGUUACGCUAAUACCGCAUAUUCUGUGAGCAGGAAAGCAGGGGAUCGCAAGACCUUGCGCUGAUUGAGCGGCCGAUAUCAGAUUAGCUAGUUGGUGAGGUAAAGGCUCACCAAGGCUACGAUCUGUAGCGGGUCUGAGAGGAUGAUCCGCCAAACUGGAACUGAGCCACGGUCCGGACUCCUACGGGAGGCAGCGGGGGGGAAUUUUGGACAAUGGGGGCAACCCUGAACCAGCCAUGCCGCGUGAGUGAAGAAGGCCUUCGGGUUGUAAAGCUCUUUCGGCCGGGAAGAAAUCGUAUCAGCUAAUACCUGGUGCGGAUGACGGUACCGGCAUAAGAAGCACCGGCUAACUACGUGCCAGCCGCCGCAGUAACAC